rnacentral:rRNA from 1 species
AUUGAACGCUGGCGGCAGGCUUAACACAUGCAAGUCGAGCGGAGCGAGGGUGCUUGCACCUUGGCUUAGCGGCGGACGGGUGAGUAAUGCUUAGGAAUCUGCCUAUUAGUGGGGGACAACAUUCCGAAAGGAAUGCUAAUACCGCAUACGCCCUACGGGGGAAAGCAGGGGAUCUUCGGACCUUGCGCUAAUAGAUGAGCCUAAGUCGGAUUAGCUAGUUGGUGGGGUAAAGGCCUACCAAGGCGACGAUCUGUAGCGGGUCUGAGAGGAUGAUCCGCCACACUGGGACUGAGACACGGCCCAGACGCCUACGGGAGGCAGCAGUGGGGAAUAUUGGACAAUGGGCGGAAACCUGAUCCAGCCAUGCCGCGUGUGUGAAGAAGGCCUUUUGGUUGUAAAGCACUUUAAGCGAGGAGGAGGCUACCUAGAUUAACACUCUGGGAUAGUGGACGUUACUCGCAGAAUAAGCACCGGCUAACUCUGUGCCAGCCGCCGCCGUAA